rnacentral:rRNA from 1 species
UACAGAGGUCUCAAGCGUUGUUCGGAUUCAUUGGGCGUAAAGGGUGCGUAGGCGGCGCGGUAAGUCGGGUGUGAAAUCCCCAGGCUUAACCUGGGAGCUGCAUCCGAUACUGGAUGGCUUGAAUCCGGGAGAGGGAUGCAGAAUUCCAGGUGUAGCGGUGAAAUGCGUAGAUAUCUGGAGGAAUACCGGUGGCGAAGGCGGCAUCCUGGACCGGCAUUGACGCUGAGGUGCGAAAGCGUGGGGAGCAAACAGG